GUGUGCUAAUACCGCAUAAUCUCUGAGGAGAAAAGCAGGGGAUCGCAAGACCUUGCGCUUUUAGAGCGGCCGAUGCCUGAUUAGCUUGUUGGUGUGGUAAAAGCUCACCAAGGCUUCGAUCAGUAGCUGGUCUGAGAGGACGACCAGCCACACUGGGACUGAGACACGGCCCAGACUCCUACGGGAGGCAGCAGUGGGGAAUUUUGGACAAUGGGGGCAACCCUGAUCCAGCCAUGCCGCGUGAGUGAAGAAGGCCUUCGGGUUGUAAAGCUCUUUCAGCCGGAACGAAACGGUCACGAUUAAUACCCGUGGCUACUGACGGUACCGGAAGAAGAAGCACCGGCUAACUACGUGCCAGCAGCCGCGGUAAUACGUAGGGUGCGAGCGUUAAUCGGAAUUACUGGGCGUAAAGCGUGCGCAGGUGGUUUUGUAAGUCAGAUGUGAAAUCCCCGGGCUUAACCUGGGAACUGCGUUUGAAACUGCAAGGCUAGAGUGUGGCAGAGGGGGGUGGAAUUCCGAGUGUAGCAGUGAAAUGCGUAGAGAUGUGGAGGAACACCGAUGGCGAAGGCAGCCCCCUGGGUCAACACUGACGCUCAGGCACGAAAGCAUGGGGAGCAAACAGGAUUAGAUACCCUGGUAGUCCAUGCCCUAAACGAUGUCAACUAGUUGUCGGGUCUUAACGGGCUUGGUAACGUAGCUAACGCGUGAAGUUGACCGCCUGGGGAGUACGAUCGCAAGAUUAAAACUCAAAGGAAUUGACGGGGACCCGCACAAGCGGUGGAUUAUGUGGAUCAAUUCGAUGCAACGCGAAAAACCUUACCUACCCUUGACAUGUAUUGAAACCCGCAGAGAUGUGGGUGUGCCCGAAAGGGAACGAUAACACAGGUGCUGCAUGGCUGUCGUCAGCUCGUGUCGUGAGAUGUUGGGUUAAGUCCCGCAACGAGCGCAACCCUUGUCAUUAAUUGCCAUCAUUUAGUUGGGCACUUUAAUGAGACUGCCGGUGACAAACCGGAGGAAGGUGGGGAUGACGUCAAGUCCUCAUGGCCCUUAUGGGUAGGGCUUCACACGUAAUACAAUGGCGCGUACAGAGGGUUGCCAACCCGCAAGGGGGAGCUAAUCUCAGAAAGCGCGUCGU
rnacentral:rRNA from 1 species